rnacentral:rRNA from 1 species
UGGGGAAUUUUGGACAAUGGGGGAAACCCUGAUCCAGCCAUCCCGCGUGUGCGAUGAAGGCCUUCGGGUUGUAAAGCACUUUUGGCAGGAAAGAAACGUCAUGGGUUAAUACCCCGUGAAACUGACGGUACCUGCAGAAUAAGCACCGGCUAACUACGUGCCAGCAGCCGCGGUAAUACGUAGGGUGCAAGCGCUAAUCGGAAUUACUGGGCGUAAAGCGUGCGCAGGCGGUUCGGAAAGAAAGAUGUGAAAUCCCAGAGCUCAACUUUGGAACUGCAUUUUUAACUACCGGGCUAGAGUGUGUCAGAGGGAGGUGGAAUUCCGCGUGUAGCAGUGAAAUGCGUAGAUAUGCGGAGGAACACCGAUGGCGAAGGCAGCCUCCUGGGAUAACACUGACGCUCAUGCACGAAAGCGUGGGGAGCAAACAGG